rnacentral:rRNA from 1 species
AGCUCCAAUAGCGUAUAUUAAAGUUGUUGCGGUUAAAAAGCUCGUAGUUGAACUUUGGGUUUGGUUUGAUGGUCUCCCAAUGGGUAGCACUAUUCGACUGAAUCUUUCCUUCUGGCACACUAUUGUGCUUUUAAUUAAGUGCGAUAGGGAACCAGGACUUUUACUUUGAAAAAAUUAGAGUGUUUAAAGCAGGCUUACGCUUGAAUACAUUAGCAUGGAAUAAUAAAAUAGGACUUUGGUUUUAUUUUGUUGGUUUCUAAGACCGAAGUAAUGAUUAAUAGGGAUAGUUGGGGGCAUUAGUAUUUAGCCGUCAGAGGUGAAAUUCUUGGAUUGGCUAAAGACUAACUUCUGCGAAAGCAUUUGCCAAGGAUGUUUUCA